rnacentral:rRNA from 1 species
CCUACGGGCGGCAGCAGUAGGGAAUCUUCCACAAUGGGCGCAAGCCUGAUGGAGCAACGCCGCGUGGAUGAAGAAGGUCUUCCGAUCGUAAAACCCUGUUUUUAGAGAAGAAAGUGCGUGAGAGUCACUGUUCACGUUUCGACGGUAUCUAACCAGAACGCCACGGCUAACUACGUGCCAGCAGCCGCGGUAAUACGUAGGUGGCAAGCGUUGUCCGGAUUUAUUGGGAGUAAAGGGAACGCAGGCGGUCUGUUAAGUCUGAUGUGAAAGCCUGCGGCUUAACCGGAGUAGUGCAUUGGAUACUGGCAGACUUGAGUGCAGUAGAGGAGAGCGGAAUUCGAUGUGUAGCGGUGAAAUGCGUAGAUAUAUGGAAGAACACCAAUGGCGAAGGCGGCUUACUGGGCUGUAACUGACGCUGAGGUUCGAAAGCGUGGGUAGCAAACAGGAUUAGAUACCCGAGUAGUC